rnacentral:rRNA from 1 species
UAACACGUAAACAACCUGCCUUCAGGAUGGGGACAACAGACGGAAACGACUGCUAAUACCGAAUGUGUUCCGGAGACCGCAUGAUUUCCGGAAGAAAGGAUGGCCUCUAUUUAUAAGCUAUCGCCUGAAGAGGGGUUUGCGUCUGAUUAGGCAGUUGGUGAGGUAACGGCCCACCAAACCUACGAUCAGUAGCCGGUCUGAGAGGAUGAACGGCCACACUGGAACUGAGACACGGUCCAGACUCCUACGGGAGGCAGCAGUGGGGAAUCUUCCGCAAUGGACGAAAGUCUGACGGAGCAACACCGCGUGAGUGAUGACGGCCUUCGGGUUGUAAAGCUCUGUGAUCGGGGACGAAUGGCUGGUAUGCUAAUACCAUAUCAGAGUGACGGUACCCGAAUAGCAAGCCACGGCUAACUACGUGCCAGCAGCCGCGGUAAUACGUAGGUGGCAAGCGUUGUCCGGAAUUAUUGGGCGUAAAGCGCGCGCAGGCGGCUUCUUAAGUCCAUCUUAAAAGUGCGGGGCUUAACCCCGUGAUGGGAUGGAAACUGGGAGGCUGGAGUAUCGGAGAGGAAAGUGGAAUUCCUAGUGUAGCGGUGAAAUGCGUAGAGAUUAGGAAGAACACCGGUGGCGAAGGCGACUUUCUGGACGACAACUGACGCUGAGGCGCGAAAGCGUGGGGAGCAAACAGGAUUAGAUACCCUGGUAGUCCACGCCGUAAACGA